CGAAGAAAGUCAUGGCAGAGACAUGGUGACUGAACUUCAGCAGAAAAUAUGUAUGCAAAUUGAGGAGUCAAGAAAACUGCAACUUGAGAUUGGGAGGGGUAUUCAAGAACAAUUAGAGCUGCAACGAAAUCUGCAAAUGCUAGUCCAAGAACAAAAGAAACAGGUCAACGAUGCAAACAAAGAAAAUUGAAGAUCAUCAUUAAAGUUAAUAUCAGCAUUUAAGGUUCUGAGAUUUUGUAUCUUUCACGACGUCACAUGUUAAACUUAAAUCACUUUUCUUUUCGGAAAAACUCUCCGAUUUUUU